AUUGAACGCUGGCGGCAUGCCUUACACAUGCAAGUCGAACGGUAACGGGCCUUCGGGUGCCGACGAGUGGCGAACGGGUGAGUAAUACAUCGGAACGUGCCCGAUCGUGGGGGAUAACGAGGCGAAAGCUUUGCUAAUACCGCAUACGAUCUACGGAUGAAAGCAGGGGACCGCAAGGCCUUGCGCGGACGGAGCGGCCGAUGGCCGAUUAGGUAGUUGGUGGGAUAAAAGCUUACCAAGCCGACGAUCUGUAGCUGGUCUGAGAGGAUGAUCAGCCACACUGGGACUGAGACACGGCCCAGACUCCUACGGGAGGCAGCAGUGGGGAAUUUUGGACAAUGGGCGCAAGACUGAUCCAGCCAUGCCGCGUGCAGGAUGAAGGCCUUCGGGUUGUAAACUGCUUUUGUACGGAACGAAAAGCCUUCUUUUAAUACAGGAGGGUAAUAACGGUACCGUAAGAAUAAGCACCGGCUAACUACGUG
rnacentral:rRNA from 1 species